rnacentral:rRNA from 1 species
CUAGCUGUAAACGAUGGGCACUAGAUGUUUCCGCGUCUCAGCGGGAGUGUCGAAGUUAACGCGAUAAGUGCCCCGCCUGGGGAUUACGGUCGCAAGGCUGAUACUCAAAGGAAUUGACGGGGGCCCGCACAAGCGGUGGAGCAUGUGGUUUAAUUCGACGCUACGCGAAGAACCUUACCUGGGCUUGAACUGCUGGGUUUAGCUUCCUGAAAGGGAAGUGAACCUGCUUGCAGGAGACCAGCAGAGGUGCUGCAUGGCUGUCGUCAGCUCGUGUCGUGAGAUGUUGGGUUAAGUCCCGCAACGAGCGCAACCCUUGCCUUUAGUUGCCAGCGAGUCAUGUCGGGUACUCUAAGGGGACUGCCACGGAUAACGUGGAGGAAGGUGGGGAUGACGUUUAGUCAGCAUGGCCUUUAUGUCCAGGGCGACACACGUGCUACAAUGGGCGGCACAAAGGGACGCGAAACCGCAAGGUGGAGCUAAUCUUCAAAGCUGCUCUCAGUUCGGAUCGCAGGCUGCAAUUCGCCUGCGUGAAGUUGGAAUCGCUAGUAAUCGCGGAUCAGCCUCGCCGCGGUGAUACGUUCUCGGGCCUUGUACACACCGCCCGUCACAUCACGAAAGUUGGUUAUACCCGAAGUCGCCGGGC